AACGAACGCUGGCGGCAUGCCUAACACAUGCAAGUCGAACGAGACCUUCGGGUCUAGUGGCGCACGGGUGCGUAACGCGUGGGAACCUGCCCUUAGGUUCGGAAUAACUCCCCGAAAGGGGUGCUAAUACCGGAUAAUGUCUUCGGACCAAAGAUUUAUCGCCUUUGGAUGGGCCCGCGUUGGAUUAGCUAGUUGGUAGGGUAAAAGCCUACCAAGGCGACGAUCCAUAGCUGGCCUGAGAGGAUGAUCAGCCACACUGGGACUGAGACACGGCCCAGACUCCUACGGGAGGCAGCAGUGGGGAAUAUUGGACAAUGGGCGAAAGCCUGAUCCAGCAAUGCCGCGUGAGUGAUGAAGGCCUUAGGGUUGUAAAGCUCUUUUACCCGGGAUGAUAAGGACAGUACCGGGAGAAUAAGCUCCGGCUAACUCCGU
rnacentral:rRNA from 1 species